UGCUUAUGUAAAUUAUUUCCUUAAUUGGUCUUGACAAUGGAGACUUUAACCUAUAGUUUGCUUUAGAGGUGGUUAUUCAGAUUUUUUUCUUCUCUUUAGGAUCCUGUUCUCUUAUUUACCAAUGUCCACAGUACUUACCCUAGUUACUGGCAAGUGUUAGUCAGCUACAGAUUUCCAAGUGGAGUUUACACAGAAGAACACAUCUGAAUACAUUCACUUAACAUGACCUUUGAGUCAGGGGAAGAAGUCAAUAGGUAGAAAAUUUAAACUACACUUUGUAUUACUAAGCAAAAUAUUUCACUUUCAUGCCCUGUAUCUAUUCACUAAAGUUUGGAUUUUGGUGUGCUUGCGAAAACAU
rnacentral:lncRNA from 1 species